CAAACCAAAGCUGGCGACCGGCGCACGGGUGAGUAACACGUAUCCAACCUGCCUCAUACUCGGGGAUAGCCUUUCGAAAGAAAGAUUAAUACCCGAUAGCAUAUAUUUCCCGCAUGGGUUUUAUAUUAAAGAAAUUCGGUAUGAGAUGGGGAUGCGUUCCAUUAGUUUGUUGGGGGGGUAACGGCCCACCAAGACUACGAUGGAUAGGGGUUCUGAGAGGAAGGUCCCCCACAUUGGAACUGAGACACGGUCCAA
rnacentral:rRNA from 1 species